rnacentral:rRNA from 1 species
AGGAAGAUUGCGGCAAUAACAGGUCUGUGAUGCCCUCAGAUGUCCCGGGCCGCACACGUGCUACAUUGAUUAGCGCAGUGCGCAUACUUUCAAUAUGAUACAUUAGAUUGGAUUGUUUUAUUAAGCUCCAUCUAAUACUAUCCGGCUUGAGAAGGCUGGGUAAUCAAUUGUAAGUGCUGGUUCCUCCUCCCGUUGAGCAUUUUAAUAAUGGCCUCUCUACAUCCCUAGUAAUAUGCCUAGUGCGAUUGUAGUUGAGCCUUGCCAUUUAUGCAAGUGUCAAUUCUCAGUGGGGACAGACAUUUGAUAAUUCUUUGUCUCGUUCUUAACUAGGAAUGCCUUGUACGGGUCUUGGUUCAACAGACCACCCGGAAUACGUCCCUGCCCUUUGUACACACCGCCCGUCGCUCUUACCGAUGAAUUUCCCUGUGAGUUUGAAGGACUGGUGGUUGCAAAAUCAUUGGAAAUUCUGUCAAACAGCGAGAU